UCGACUCAUUUGUAAGGAAUGGGAUCGUUUGCCUACGUUUGCCGCUAGGGGCGCUGUUCCAACUGCAUACAAAAUUGGGUUA
rnacentral:pre_miRNA from 1 species